rnacentral:lncRNA from 1 species
UGAGUGGGGUGGGCUUAGUUUUUUGUUGUGCUUUUUUUUUUUUUUUAAUUCCAGUGUUUCCCAGGGGAAAAGCAAAAUGGUUUCAUUAGACUCAACAGGGAAACUUUUGCCAAGAGAAGUUGUACUCCGGUGGGAUGCUGCCUUGGGAAGGGACAACCCUGCUGCAUCCAAACCUGAGCCCUCUAUGGCAAAUUCUCUGCCACCAAACUCCAGUGAGGACCUGUGGGAGACACUCCACUGCUGCCAGCUGGCCUUGGUUGCUGUGGGAAGGAUUAAUGGCACAUCCAGCUGAUGAUCCCACAAUUGCUGACUUGGUUUGGAGGCAGUUCAGGAGCGAUGGCAGACCCGGCGCUGCCCUCACGGUGCUGGGUUCUCUCCGGUGGUGGUCACUUGUGAGUGUCUCCUCCCUGCCACCCUAAUGCCCGACACCAUUCCCUUCCUGGGUGGGUUUUGCUGGGGAUUUUGGGUGGGUCAAGCCCCUUAAGCUGUGGGAUUUGUGCUUUUUAUUUAGAGUCACAGUGCCUGAUCUGGCAAAUGCUGUGGCACAGCCUGGCCUAGGGAAAGCCAGGGCUGUCCCCCUCUACAGUGGGAAUGACCCCUCCAGCCUCCCAAAACGUGGCAGAGAUGUGGUUUGACAGCUCUUGGGGAAGAAAGGUGAGAGCCUUGGAAAUACUGAUGUGGAAAGCCAACCCACCCGCCCCAGUUUUGCAUUGAAGAAAGCUUCUGUGUGGAUGGAUUCCCCCUUCCUUGGGGGUCUGGCAGCCCCCUGCCUGCACUGCCCCAGGGAGGGGACAUGUGGAGACCCUUUCCUCAGGACUCCUGCCAUCCACCAUUCAGCGUGGGCAGGGACAUCCCAGAGGGAUAUGUGGAGAGUCCACCCUGCUGCACAGCUCCAGUCCCUAGAGAAACCCAGGCACUGGGGAUGGAGGAAGGCUUCUGGGAGUGUUUGGAAGAGUGUUGAUGUUCCCAGUGCUACCCUGUGGCAUGGAAAGGCAGCCUGAGGCUUAAAAUUCCUCCUGCUGGCUUAAGGGGAGCCCAGGUUGAUGGCUCUGGGGUGGCUCAGCCCCUCUGGAGUUGCUUAAGACAACACUCUGGCGCUGGUUGGCUGUGUUCUCCUGGACAAAGAGUUUUUUGGUGCUGUGUGGCAACCAGAGAGUGUAUUGUUACUUUGGGGGGGAGGGGNNNNNNNNNNNNNNNNNNNNUUUUUUUUUUUUUUUU